GUAGAAAAAAACUAGAAAAAAUCAAUCAAAACUGCGGGAUUGGAAUUGGAUGGCCCAGAUCUUGUGGAGUAGUUAUUUUUUCUAAGUAUCCUUCUUCUUCGUGUCCCCUUCGCAGCACAGCACAGGCCCUGAAAUUCCCCAAUAAUUUCCCUCUCGCUUGCCGACGGCGACGGCGACGGCGGUCCAGAUCCGUUGCCAAGCUCCGCCCCCGCGUUGUGCUCGUCGCAUCCUCCCAAUCCGAGGCCCCGGCAUCUCGCGUUCAGCAAUCCUGUGUAUUCUUUAGUGGCAUUGCUCAUUACUUGAAGGCUUUGCCGUUGUUAACAUAGACUGGGAUCAUCUUAAGUGCUCUUCAGUGGCAUUGCUCAUUACUUGAUGGCGAGGCAUGACACCUAUGAUUGACAAGGAAACUCACAAGGCUUGCCGUUGUUAACAUAGACUGGGAUCAUAUUAAGGUGCGUACACUAAUUCAUAAUUAUAGUACUGGUAUUUUCUUGAUAAUUGUCCCCUCUGCCUAAACUAUUUUAGCCAUGCUCAAAAGGUAGUAUUUUUAUUUAAGUUGCUUGAGAAAGAAUGUGUUUGAGGCCAACUUGUAUUGAGGUUAACAUAUGCUACCUCUGUUCACUGAUGUAAGAUGUUUUGCAGUACUCCCUCCGUCCGAAAAUACUUGUACAAGAAAUGGAUAAAAAUGGAUGUAUGUAGAACUAAAAUAUGUCUAGAACUCUAGAUACAUCCAUUUCUCCGACAAGUAUUUCUGGACGGAGGGAGUAUUUCUUUUCUGUUUUGCAUUCUUGUAUCUAUUACAUACUUCUGUAUAAUCUAUCAGGUCCGUUUGCAUUGUAAAUUUUUAAAUAGACGUGACUAUGUUGUUUUGCUGGUUUGGUAGGCUGAAGUACGAACCAUAGAUUCAUGUUUUGUGGCUUAAAGUGUUUCAUAGUUUCUGUUCUUUUUGUGGUUAUUCAGGAGUAAGAACAAAUUGUACUUAUUCGAGAGUAAGAACGAAAUAGCAAGGGAUAUGAAAUCACUCUGCUCUUUGGUCCAGAUACCCCCACAUAAUGAUGACCUGUUCUUUUACCCAAAUCACCACAAGUAUCAUCAUAUCUUUGUGUCUUAGGUAGCUAUAAUUGCAAAGGGCCCAACCAAUAAGAGGUGCUUCAAGGCUAUUACAGCAGUGGAAAUCAUCACCUUCCGUGCACAUGAAAACAUUGUGGCCUGCACUUGUAGUGCUGCUGUCAGCAGAGUUGUGUGCGUUAAGGCAAUGGUGAGGCAUAAGACAUAAUUAGCAGGAAAUUUCUAUGGGAGGAAGCAAAUGGCUGAUUGUUUUGACCUACUUGGACUUGAUUUGGGAUAGACCUUCAGUUGGUAACCAGCCAUUGAACUAUAAAACUUUUAUAUAAUAUAAUAUCAAUACAUCAGUACAACCAUUCGUAAGAUGCGUGCAUUAAGCAAGUCUUAUUGGGAUGUAUGAGCUGUUAAACUUGACUUGAAAUGAACUUUGUAUUUAACAAAAUAACGAGAAGUUGGAACUUGCAAAAACAUCAAAUUGCAUCUUCACUUUUCUGAUGAUACAAGUGCUAUACGGUAUUCUUACGCUUCUCUCUUCACUGGUCUGAUAUAUGCCUCUGAGCUGCAGCAUCAAGUUGUUACUUUUCGUCAUCUACGAGUUAGCAAAAGAACUUCAAUUGCAUUCAACCCUAGCAUUUUGUGGUACAGAUACUUACUAAUUAAGCAGCAAACCACUACUACAAGCAAUUAUUUUGAGAGUGAGACGAAAGGGAAACCCUAAGCUAGGACCAGGCGGCGGCGAGAGAAACCACAAAAGGCGAGCGACGGCGGGUGGCGGGCUGGCGGCCCGGCAAAAGAGGGAGAUGCAGAAGGAAGGGGAGAUCGUACAGUCUCGUCCCAAGAAGAAUCGAGCUGACCUUGCUGAUGAGCUCGAGUUCUUCACGGAGCUCCGCAAUACGCUGAUGAAGGAGAGGUUUGAUUCUUCCAACUCGUACUGUAGAUUGGACACACAGAAGGGACUUGGUUUUGUCAGCAAUCGUAUCAAGGUCUUGCGCAAGCGUCUGGGGAUAACCGCCGGAACUGCCCACAGUUCCCCCGCGAUAUCUGAUCCGACUGACCCCUUGGAGAAGCAUGUGAAUGAUCUCGGUUUGACAAUAGGAGCAGAUCCAAUUCAAGAUGAUUGUGAUGGUAGUGCUGAUGGCUGCGGUGAUGAGGAGGAAGAGGAUGAGAUGGAGUGGGGCAAGCCAGCCAUGGAGGAGGAGGAAGUCCGAAGGAUCACCGGCCCUACACCAAUGUCAGAGAUUGAUGCAGAGGCAGUGAUGGAGGCAGAUGUCCAAGUUACAGAUGUAUCAGAGAAUUUGGUACUCAAACGGUCAAACCUAAUCCCAUUCUCACCAACACAACGGCAAAAGUGCCCAUAAACGAUGAUGGCCAUGCUCAAGCUGACGCUGAUGGUGUCGACGACGAUGAGAUAGACAGGGGCAAAACAGAGCAACAAUUAGCCAAGGAGGCCAGGGCGAUGGCCAUUGAGAAGGACAUGUUUGAUUUCUUCCGUCAUGACUGGGAGACUGCGUUUAGCCGGCGCAGCGGCCACUUCCUUAACAAGACGACACUGAGUUCCAUGCAGUUUGCAAACUUGGCACCUGGGCGCAUCCCAUGCGGUGCUGACAUAGAAUCUGUCGUGCAGAUCUUCUCCUUCAAGCUCAUGGAAGUGAAAGGCGGCUUCAAAUUUCCAUCGUCCGUGUAUGGGGUGGUCGCUGCUCGUGAUACCGCGGACUACAACCGUCACCUUCUCUUCUUUUGUGAUAGGAACAACUCCCAAAAACUCACUCAAGAUGAUCCUUAUCUGCGCCUGAUCGGCCUGUCUCGUGCGGUCUAUGAGGUCCAGCUUAUGGUGAAAGGCAGCGUGAAGUCUCGGGACAGGCCGUUGAUCACCGAUACAUACCGUUAAAUCCGAUGUCGUAUUGGUGUAUCCACGAUCUGCUUUGAGAACUGCUUCUGCACGACGGAGUUACGACCGGAGCGAUUUCUAGGUUCGGUCCAGGCCACCAUCUUGGGCGUACGUGUCAUCAAAUACGGCGGGUUGUGGCCUUUUGGACAUGGUGUUCGGGUUGCUUGCUCCCCGGUAUCACGGGAACUUGUGGAGGACAGUGAUGGUGAACUCAAGUACGUUGCCGAGCCUUCAUCUGGGGAAAUCUUGCUGCUUGAUUCAAAAGAUGGGAGAAGACCUGCGAAUUCAAAUGGAUACCUUUAUCUGUCAAGGCAAGUUGUUUCUGUAGAACCAAGCGGACACCUGGAAGUUGAAAUACAGGCCUAUGCACCACCCGGCAUUGUCCCUGCAAAAGCUCAGGUCUACUUCGAUGCCCAAGAAUGCAACAUAGUUCGUGGUAGAUGCUGCCCCUCCUCGGUGCUGAGGUGGAGAUCUCUGUUGCUUGGUCCCGUCUUGCUUCGGACAUGGAGAUGCUUGCAGCUAUCGAAAGGGAUUUUGAAAGGGACGAACCAGAGGUUGCGUUCACACAAGUAGGACUGAACGGAGAGCCUGACACCGAACGAAUCUUUUAAGAGCUGCUCCCUAUAGUAGUAUUUCUGCAUUGUGUUUGGCUCUAUAUGCAAGGUGUCCAACUAUGACUUAUGCUAUGUAUCUGCAUCUGGUUAUAUAUGUAAGAUGUCCAACUAUAACCUGUCCAACUAAGACUUUUAAGCAUUUCUGUGUUGAUUAAUCUGCUUUGGUCUUGUUCUCUGGUUAAUUACUACUGGUGGUUGCUGACUUAUAUUAUUAUGGUAGCAUAGCAUGAAGCUUCUACCUGCUUGUUUGUCUAACUAAAUAGAGUCGGUUGGUAGUCUGAUUUUACUCGAGGAAACAAGUGAAUCUUCUUCAGGUGCAUGA